rnacentral:lncRNA from 1 species
AUGGCCAAAUCCAAGCACCACACCACACACAACCAGUCCCGAAAAUGGCACAGAAACGGCAUCAUGAAACCCGGAUCACAAAGAUACGAAUCUUUUAAAGGGGUGGACCCCAAGUUCCUGACAAACAUGCGGUUUGCCAAGAAGCACAAUAAGAGGGGCCUAAAGAAGAUGCAGGGCGACAGUGCCAAGGCCAUGAGUGCACGUGCUGAGGCCUUGCCCUCAUAAACCCCAAGGAGGUUAAGCCCAAGAUUCCAAAGGGUGUCAGCUCUUGCCUACGUUGCCCACCUCAAGCUUGGGAAACGUGCUCGUGCCCGCAUUGCCAAGGGGCUCAGGCUGUGCCAGCCAAAGACCAAGGUCAAGGAUCAAACCAAGGCUCAGGCUGCAGCUCCAGCUUCAGUUCCAGCUCAGACUCCCGAAGGAGCUCAGGCCCCUACAAAGCCUUCAGAGUAG